ACUCUGCCUUCCUAGUAACUGGGAUUAAAGGCAUAUGCCACCACCAUCCGGCGAUCUGUAUUUUUUAUGGUGUUAUUUGAUAACUACCUUUAGCUUAUGUGUAUGCAAACAAUGUAUAUAUGGCCUAUAGUACUGACCACACACACACACAUAAAAAAAGCAACAGGAUUUUGGAGUCAGAGAAUUUAGAUUUGUUUUCUUCCUAAACAUUAAGAUUCACAUGUACUUGAUGUACUGUUAAAGAAAAAUACAGCUCUUCAAAUUCUCUCAACCCCUUCAAGUUCUCUUUGUUGUUGUUUUGAGACAGAGUCUCAUUAUCUGUCACUGGCUGGCCUGGAACUCAGUGCCUCUGCCUCUGGAGUGCUGGGAAUAAAGGCAUGUGCCACCACACCUGGCCUCAGGUACUCUUAAGGAAGCAGCUAUCCACGACACCCUGUAGCACACACGCUGUCAUCUGGAUGCAGGGCUCGCCCCAGUCCCCGCACACUGUGAGUUUUCUUGUGCCUUUGGCCAUCAUUACUCACUGUACCCGGAGCAAAUGGAUUCAGGCACUCUGAUGCUUGUGACAAGGUUCCAGGCUUUUGUGGGGAGAAAACUGUUUUUGUUUUUGCCUUUUCUGGUGCCAGAUUACAUUGUGCAUGUAAGUGUCACACAAGACCCAAGUAGUCCCAACCUGCAGAGGCUCUGACAUGCAAUCAGAUACUCUGGGCACGACUGUGAUUUUGAGGCAGCUGUUGUGGUACAACUUUCCAUACGUAAAGGUCUGGGAUUGGUGUCUUGUUGCUUGUGGGGAGGGGCCAGGGCAGCCCAGUGUUUUAGACAUAGCAGCAGUGGGGAGGGGGAAGAGGUCUCCCCCUUCCUCAGUUAGCACCCUUGAAAAGAAAGUUACUCUUGGAUCCUUGUGUUCCUCAUUCCACCAUGAAAUCAUUGAUCUGCCAUUUUCACAGGGUUGCCAUGUCAACCAAAUGAGAUGGUGUGUAUCAGCACAGCUGGGCAUCCAUAGCACCGUAUGGGGCUAUCCGAUACCAUAUUGCUGCAAAUCCAGGUUUCUAAACAACUCCUUGGAAAGAUGGCGUAUACACUUUCUAAAAACAUAAGUACGUUGUUUUAUUCACUGCAGCUUUGGGUACUUUUCAUGAUCUUGGCCUACAUUAAAAAAGAUGCAAGACAAACUUGUUAGGCCAACAUGGUAAGUGUUUGUGGUCUCUAAAAUGAAGUUGUAAGUCAGGUUAUUAAGAAAUGCAGUAGGUGAUGGGAAACCUUGGGUCCAUCUAACUUUCUUCUGUCAUGCGUGUGUUCCAGAUGUGAUCCAUGGUCUUUCUGUGUAUGGACUUUUAAAAGACAUUACUUGAUUCAUUGAAGUACUUAUCAUCUGAACAGACAGCCUUCUCUUCUACUCUGCCCUUGAAUUUGGAGCAUAUGCAUCUUCUUAAAUGUUUGGCAAGUUCACUGUGGAACCUUAGCUGUCUAGGUUAAUUUACCAGUAAUUUCCUGGGGAAGUCCCGUUAGCAGUUAGUAGACGCUCUCAGAUUGCCUCCCUCUGUCCUUGGAGAAAAUGGAACUACUGUAUCCCUAAGUCUGAGGUUUGAUUAAGAAUCAGUAUUCAGUUCAUUGCUCUAAAACCUAAAGGGAAAAAAGAACCUUGUUUUAGCAAGUUUGUUUGUAGAGGGAAUAUUAUGUAGUGAGUGCUACAAAAAUGACCCCUUUUAAACAUUUACAAAAACUUUCAGGAUGAGUGGGUUUCACGUCUGUGAUCUAUUUGGAUGGAGACUUUCCAGCCAUGAGAGCACACGUGUUAUAUACAUGUUGUGGAAGGUAUGAGGUGGUACACUGAUACCGAUACCUAAGUGGUGGAGGUACUUCCUUUGUUACAGUUAACCGCCCUGGAAAAUCUGCCUGUCUCCCGCCCCGCGUGGAGACAGUGAUGUUCUUAGCAUUAGCUCUCAGUGGCCCUGCCAUCCCUCCCUUGCUUUCUGAGGUAGUACACAUUUGGCUGAUCCCCCCCCCCAACGUCCCCUGAAUGAACAUGCACUACACACCUGUGCACUGAGCACUUGACGGUGCAGGACAUGGAAAGCCAUGGAGCAAGAAGCCUGUGACCUGUGGCUGUUGUGGAAUAUCCCUUUACACUGUGUGAAAAUAUGUCACUGUGACUGUGUAAUUGAAAUGGCCAACAGCGGGGCAGGAUUUUCAGGGCAGAGAGGAUGCUGGGAAGAAGGAGGAGACGCCAGGAGCUGCAAAGCAAGUAGGAUGGGCAGGAAGGAAAUGAGUAGAAAUGGGUUAGUUUAAGUUAUAAGGGCUAGUUAGAAACAAGCCUAAGCUAUCGGCUGAGCUUUCAUAAUUUUAAAAAAAAAUCACAUGACCUCUACCUGUGUGUCCGGAAGUCUAGAGCAGAAUGCAAACAUUUAACAGAGGAGCAAUAGUUGUUAUUUAAUUGCUAUCACUGUGUGCACUACAAAGGGGAAAUAAGGCAUUGUGGGCAAUUUAAUGACUCCUCACAUCUUUGGUGGUUGGUUAGAAGCCUUCUUCCUGAAGAAGGAAUGUUUCUGAUAAGAGUCAAAUGACUCAAUAUGGAGAGUGAAAGAAAGGUCGUUAACUUCUGAAUGUGCCUUUUGUCAGAAGUAGGAGUACCUUAGUUGUGAUGGUCUUUAGUUUUUCGCUUAAUUGAGACAGCUUCAUGUAGACCCAGGCAUUUUGACUCUCAGCUACCAACAUGUACCGCUGUGCCCAGAUUUAUGGGGUGGGGAUCGAACUCAGGACUUGUUCGUGCAUGCUAGGCAAGCACUCUGCUAAUCAAGCUACAUACCCCGCCCACAUUUCUGAUAGUCUUUAUUUUGUAUUCAUCUUUUUUAAAGAUGCAAGUGUUUUUUAUUUGUGUGUUUAUUGUGCAUGCCUGUGUGAGUUUAUGUGUUCCACAUGUAUGCAGGUGCCCCUGUAAGCCAAACGAGGACAGCACAUCCCAUGGAAUGGCCCAAUGUGGGCUCUCUGCAAGAACAUUAAGUACUGUUAACCAUCUUUAACCAUCCAUCACUGGCCAUCUCUUCAGUUCCUUCUGGUGGACUUAAUGUCAAAGACUAGAGUGCCUUGAUCACUCCAAAUUCUUGAUUUCAGAAAAGCAGACGAAAAUGCCUACCCGCAUAGGUCUAGAUAGAAAGGUCUGAGCAGUGCUCUUGCAGUUGGAAAUAGUAACCAGAAAUGGUGGAUGUGGCUGCACACACAAAUGAUUCCCGGACGUCUGGACACCCUUGCCUUCUACCUUGCCCUCAGCCGGCCCUGGUAGGUUCCCGCAUGUUCUCCAGCCUGCCUUCCAGUCAUCUCCGUCACUUGUGGCUCUUGGAAUGCUGUGGAUACCGAGAAGAAGCUCUUCCGACCUUAUGGGUCACCUCCGUCACCCUGAGGUGAUGUAGCCCUUGAUGGGAAGCAGAAGCCUAAAGAGUCCCAUAAACUACUGAAUGGGAGCUCAGAGUGGACUGAACCCUAAGUGUCCCCAGAAGAUCCUCUUCUCACAAAAUCAGAAAACGAAUUUGAUGAGUGAGGUGGAAUGCCCAAGCCCUCAUCUGUUUGUCUCCUCCUUGGCAGAAACUCUGGAUACACACUUGGGACACCUAUAAAUCGUAUGAUAGGACAUAACAUGGCAUGCUGAAAUAAUGCAGUAGAACACGAUGAAAUCAGAAUGUGUCAUGCUGCAUGUUCUUUAACAACAGCGCACUUACUCCAUCAGAACAUGACAAUGAAGUGCUUUUCUGUCCAGCAGACUGUCAUACAUGACGCUGUUGCAGUAGUAAGUCUUUGUCCUGAUGUCAAUGUGAUCGCAGUGUCCCCUCCUGCACACGCCUGCUGAAUAGCUGUGUGACCUUCAGCCGGCUUCUUAGACUGCAAACUCAGCUUAGCAGUGCCUGCCCUCGCCUAUCUGAUAGUAGUAUCUUGAUGUCUGAGAUGAGACAGCCUGUGAAAGUCCUUGGAGGUGAAAGUGUGUCUGACUGCCCUGGCCUGUUAACUCUCACCACACCCCCACGUUCUUCUAUUUCUCCUCUUUGAUCCUAGAGCCGCGUGCUCACUGGGCAAGCACUUACUGAGCUGUAGCCCUUAGCUUCCUCCUCUUGCUGAAAAAGUGCCUACCCAGCGAUUUCAGGCAGGGUCCUUCCUCUUCUGAGUCGCCUAAGCCUGAGUGAAUGGCUGCAGAGGGUUUUCUGACUCCUGCUUCCUGGCUCACAGCGUAGGCUGAAAGGAAGACGUGUGAGACCCACGCUCACUUCUGCCUUCGGCACUGUGGUCUCUUGGUAAAGGCUUCUUUCUGUGCACCUGCGUCCCGUGAGAAGUUUGCGGGGAAGCUCUGGCAGUCAACAAGUGACUCUACAGACCAGCUUGCUCAGCCACUGAGUCACUGUGAUGUGAGACUCUUGAAGUGAGCAUCGAUGCAUGACAGGGAGAAGUAGUGGUUUAGUGAAAACAGUCUCUGCUCUGAGCAGAUGCUUUAGUGGCUAGCUCAUUGUGAAACAGUAAGAACCAGAGUUAGUGGAAAUCCAUAAAGCCGUGUAUGACUAGUCUAUAAACAAGGUCUGAAUAGUCAGUCAGUUACCUUUCUGCCCCUUGCCCCGUUUUGCUGACUAGCUGCUAUCUGGCUGAUAAGGGAGACUGGCCUGGGAAAUAAAAACCUGUUUCAUACCCUGGCUCCGCCAGGCUGUGACUUUGGGCCCAUCUUGCAACUUCUGUACUUUGGUCUUCUCAUUGCUAAGAUGGGACAGCAGUAGUAUUUGUCCUGUGAACCUCAGUGAGCAAUUGUGCAUAAAGCAAAAUGUAGACAGAUGUGUUUUGAACCACCCCAUCCCCCCACCCUCACCCCUGCCCAAAAGAAGUGAAAGGUGAUUGUGCUGUAGCUGUUGGAGACUAACGGUCCAUCCGUGUGACAGUGCGUAUGUAAGUAGUCAGCACACUGCUGAAGACUAAAAGGUACUCUCCAGUCCUUCUCCAGAGAAGACGAAGGAAAUUCUGAGCUUUUGGAGCUUGGAGGAGGAGACACAUCCUCUAUUUGAAUGUUUUAAAUGAAUCAUGGAACACUAGAUCUCACAGAAAUCAGUUCAGUAGCUGAGUUUCCAGACUAGUCACUUAAAUGGUUAAGCAUAAGUAGUUUAUUUCGGUCCAGUUUCUCUUACGCAGUGAAACCGCCCACUGGUUGCACGGAUAUUUGUCUGUGAGAGGGGAUUUGCAGGACUUAGCUGAGAUCCAGGUGAGAGAUUCUGAAGCCCCUUCUCUCUGGGUUUCCCUGCUUCCUUCCCGUGUGCCUGAGGCUUGCUUAAGGCAGGCCUGUAAAUACCAGCUGGAACUUCAGUCCCCUGCCCCAGAGUCAGGGUUGACACUUCCUCCGUAACGAGCCUGGUCACCUCAUGCAGUUAGAAGAGGUGGCUCCUUUGGCUCUGCACCUCAGCAAGGCUAAAGAAAGGACUUACCCAGGUCACCUUGCUGCUCUCAAGGAACCAAUCGCAGUCAAGCUUCACAACUGUUCUCCUGCACACAACUCAAGGCUUUUCCUCACGGUGUUGCUACGCUCUCUUAGGAUAUAGCUGCGAGCUGAAAGAGGUUUGAGACGUUUAAUCUAAGCAAAACCUGUCCCUCCACACUCAUCUGUGUAAAGCGAGGAUCCCAUUAGCCUUAUCUGUUUGAGAAAAGAAUAUUGUUAUAUAUGUGUAACUUUUAUACGAAAAUAAAAUAAAAUUGACUCUUGUAAAA